GAGGAUAUAGCUCAGUGGUCGAGUGUGUGCCUAGUAUGCAUGAGGUCAGGGGUUCAAUCCCCAGUACCGCCA
rnacentral:tRNA from 1 species